rnacentral:rRNA from 1 species
CCUACGGGUGGCAGCAGUAGGGAAUUUUUCACAAUGGGCGAAAGCCUGAUCGAGCAAUGCCGCGUGAAUGAUGAAGGUCUUAUAGAUUGUAAAAUUCUUUUAUUUGGGAAGAAAAACUACAGUAGGUAAUGCCUUUAGUCUGACUGUACCAUUUUAAUAAGUAUCGGCUAACUCUGUGCCAGCAGUCGCGGAAAUACUUAGGAUGCAAGCGUUAUCCGGAUUUAUUGGGCGUAAAACGAGCGCAGGCGGGUUAACACGUUUGGUAUGAAAGGCUUUUGCUUAACGGAAGUUUGUAUCAAAAACUGUUAAUCUAGAGUGUAGGAGAGAGUUCUGGAAUUCCAUGUGGAGCGGUGGAAUGCGUAGAUAUAUGGAAGAACACCAGUGGCGAAGGCGAGAACUUAGGCUAUCACUGACGCUUAGGCUCGAAAGUGUGGGGAGCAAAUAGGAUUAGAUACCCUAGUAGUC